rnacentral:rRNA from 1 species
UUAAGUUAAUAAGGGCGCACGGUGGAUGCCUUGGCACUAGGAGCCGACGAAGGACGUGACAAACGACGAUAUGCCUUGGGUAGCUGUAAGUAAGCGAUGAUCCAGGGAUUUCCGAAUGGGGGAACCCAACAGGUAAUACCUGUUACCCACAUCUGUUAAGGAUGUGAGGAGGAAGACGCAGUGAACUGAAACAUCUAAGUAGCUGCAGGAAGAGAAAGCAAAAGCGAUUGCCUUAGUAGCGGCGAGCGAAACGGCAGAAGGGCAAACCGAAGAGUUUACUCUUCGGGGUUGUAGGACUGCAAUGUGGACUCAAAGAUUAUAGAAGAAUGAUUUGGGAAGAUCAGCCAAAGAGAGUAAUAGCCUCGUAUUUAAAAUAGUCUUUGUACUUAGCAGUAUCCUGAGUACGGCGGGACACGUGAAAUCCCGUCGGAAUCUGGGAGGACCAUCUCCCAACCCUAAAUACUCCCUAGUGACCGAUAGUGAACCAGUACCGUGAGGGAAAGGUGAAAAGCACCCCGGGAGGGGAGUGAAAUAGAACCUGAAACCGUGUGCCUACAACAAGUUCGAGCCCGUUAAUGGGUGAGAGCGUGCCUUUUGUAGAAUGAACCGGCGAGUUACGUUAUGAUGCGAGGUUAAGUUGAAGAGACGGAGCCGUAGGGAAACCGAGUCUGAAUAGGGCGCCUUAGUAUCAUGACGUAGACCCGAAACCAUGUGACCUACCCAUGAGCAGGUUGAAGGUGCGGUAAGACGCACUGGAGGACCGAACCAGGGCACGUUGAAAAGUGCUUGGAUGACUUGUGGGUAGCGGAGAAAUUCCAAACGAACUUGGAGAUAGCUGGUUCUCUCCGAAAUAGCUUUAGGGCUAGCGUCGACAUUAGAGAUUCUUGGAGGUAGAGCACUGUUUGGGUGAGGGGUCCAUCCCGGAUUACCAAUCUCAGAUAAACUCCGAAUGCCAAUGAAUUAUGGUCGGCAGUCAGACUGCGAGUGCUAAGAUCCGUAGUCGAAAGGGAAACAGCCCAGACCACCAGCUAAGGUCCCAAAAUAAUUGUUAAGUGGAAAAGGAUGUGGGGUUGCACAGACAACUAGGAUGUUAGCUUAGAAGCAGCUAUUCAUUCAAAGAGUGCGUAAUAGCUCACUAGUCGAGUGACCCUGCGCCGAAAAUGUACCGGGGCUAAAACAAUUUACCGAAGCUGUGGAUACCUUUAUAGGUAUGGUAGGAGAGCGUUCUAUGUGUGAUGAAGGUAUACCGUGAGGAGUGCUGGAACGCAUAGAAGUGAGAAUGCCGGUAUGAGUAGCGAAAGACAGGUGAGAAUCCUGUCCACCGUAAGACUAAGGUUUCCAGGGGAAGGCUCGUCCGCCCUGGGUUAGUCGGGACCUAAGGAGAGACCGAAAGGUGUAUCCGAUGGACAACAGGUUGAUAUUCCUGUACUAGAGUAUGUAGUGAUGGAGGGACGCAGUAGGCUAACUAAAGCAGACGAUUGGAAGAGUCUGUCUAAGCAGUGAGGUGUGAAUUGAGUCAAAUGCUUAAUUCUAUAACAUUGAGCUGUGAUGGGGAGCGAAGUUUAGUAGCGAAGUUAGUGACGUCACACUGCCAAGAAAAGCUUCUAGCGUUUAAACAUACUCUACCCGUACCGCAAACCGACACAGGUAGUCGANGCUAACUACGUGCCAGCAGCCGCGGUAAUACGUAGGUCCCGAGCGUUGUCCGGAUUUAUUGGGCGUAAAGCGAGCGCAGGCGGUUAGAUAAGUCUGAAGUUAAAGGCUGUGGCUUAACCAUAGUAGGCUUUGGAAACUGUUUAACUUGAGUGCAAGAGGGGAGAGUGGAAUUCCAUGUGUAGCGGUGAAAUGCGUAGAUAUAUGGAGGAACACCGGUGGCGAAAGCGGCUCUCUGGCUUGUAACUGACGCUGAGGCUCGAAAGCGUGGGGAGCAAACAGGAUUAGAUACCCUGGUAGUCCACGCUGUAAACGAUGAGUGCUAGGUGUUAGACCCUUUCCGGGGUUUAGUGCCGUAGCUAACGCAUUAAGCACUCCGCCUGGGGAGUACGACCGCAAGGUUGAAACUCAAAGGAAUUGACGGGGGCCCGCACAAGCGGUGGAGCAUGUGGUUUAAUUCGAAGCAACGCGAAGAACCUUACCAGGUCUUGACAUCCCUCUGACCGCUCUAGAGAUAGAGCUUUCCUUCGGGACAGAGGUGACAGGUGGUGCAUGGUUGUCGUCAGCUCGUGUCGUGAGAUGUUGGGUUAAGUCCCGCAACGAGCGCAACCCCUAUUGUUAGUUGCCAUCAUUUAGUUGGGCACUCUAGCGAGACUGCCGGUAAUAAACCGGAGGAAGGUGGGGAUGACGUCAAAUCAUCAUGCCCCUUAUGACCUGGGCUACACACGUGCUACAAUGGCUGGUACAACGAGUCGCAAGCCGGUGACGGCAAGCUAAUCUCUUAAAGCCAGUCUCAGUUCGGAUUGUAGGCUGCAACUCGCCUACAUGAAGUCGGAAUCGCUAGUAAUCGCGGAUCAGCACGCCGCGGUGAAUACGUUCCCGGGCCUUGUACACACCGCCCGUCACACC